rnacentral:lncRNA from 1 species
UUUUAAGUAAUUUAGUUUGUCAUUUGACCAAGUUUGACCAAAACCCGUCUUGGAUUUUGAACAAAUGUGCUUAGGAUUGGCCCAAAUUUAUCCAAAUGGAAAAAUGGUCAAUAUAUCAAAUGUAGAUCUUGAUGAUCUCUAACAACUUUUUAUUUAAUUUUUUUUUCUUUUGAAGUCAUCAAAUGGCCCAUUUGAUCAAGUUUGACCAAAGUCAAAGCAUUGGUUUUUACAAAAACACCCUUUGACCGAACCCUAGAUAGUCCCAAAUGAAAAAGUCAUGAAUACAAAGUUUGAUACAUGUCUAAUGGUCAACUUUUCGUUUGGAAAAGUUUGAACCAUUGAAUUUUGAAUUUUCAGAGAAUUCAUAGCCACGCAGCGGU